rnacentral:lncRNA from 1 species
AAAUCAUAAAACCAGUUAAAACCGAGAAAUUCCCGAGAGAGUUCUUCGUGUUCUUGAGAUUCAAACGAGGAUUUGGACGCGUUAUCGGACUCGGAUUUUGGCGUUCAAGGACUCAAAUUGAAGGUUUUAACAAGUAGAAUCAUAAUCUAGCAUCAAAAUCAGUGCAGCAACAUCAGGUGGGUUUGGAUUUUGAGUUUUAAAUUCGAAGUAAAUAAUCUCAAAUUAGGGAUUUUUGAUUUUGAAGUUGUUUGUGUGAUUUGAUGAUUGUAUGUUGUAGAUAAUCUUCUCCUGAUCAUUUUGGUAUAUCAUAUGCUUGAUUUGGAGUUCAAUAACGUGUUCAAUUUGAGGUUUAAUCUUCGAAAUCAGGAAUUAGGGUUUAUGUGCGCGAUGAAUGUUUUCAAUUGGAAAUUAGGGUUAUUUAAUCUAGGAGGUAGAAGUGAAAUUGGAUGAUACCAUCAUGUUGGUUGUGAUCUCAGGAACGUGUACAUAGCUUCAAAUCUUAGCUGAGGUUCGUGAAUCGAACGAAUCGAUUCAAAGAAAACUCGCCGGCGACGGCGAGUUUCUUCGAUCGAUUACGGUCGAUUCCGGCCGUUUCUGGUGAAAUCGAUUGUAUGGAUGAGUUGGGGAGGCUUGAUACUCCAUAUCUGCACCAUUUGGAGGCUAUUGGUGGCCGGAAUCGCCACCUCCGGCGAAGCCAGGGGCGGCGGCUGCAAAAUUGCAGUUUGGCCCCUGGACUUUUGGAGGUGGUGAAGUUUAGCCACCCAAGUUUCAUUUUUGACAUUUAGACCCCUGAAGUUUCCAAAGUUGCAAAUCAAACCCUGUAGUUUUCAAAACUUGCAAUUCAAACCCUGGAUUUUUAAAAAGUUUUAAAAAAAUGAUUUUUGAUUUAAAUUUAAUUUCGAAAAUCAUUUAUUUUAAUUUCAAAAAUUGUUUUUAAUUAUUUAUUAAUUCAAAAAUAAAUCUGAUUUAAUUUAUUAAUUAAUUUUAAUUAGUAAUUAAUUAUUAUAAUUAGUCAAUUAAUUUAAUUAUUAAUUGAUUAAUUGUUUUAAUUAAUUAUUAAUUGAUUUUAAUUGAUUUAUUAAUUAGAUUUAAUUAUUUUAAAUAAUUUUAAAUGAUUUUAAAAUUCCGAAAAAUAGUUUCGAGCUUUAAAAUAUUAUUCUAAAAUAUGAUUGAAGCUCGUUAAUUGAUUUCAAAUGAUUUCGGACUUGAUUUCGAGUAUCCAAAAAUGGAUUAUUUAUUUAUAAAAUGAUUCUUUGACCCGUUUUAAUUCCGAAAAAUGUUUAAAAAUUCAUAAUAAAUACCAGAAAAGUCCGUUUGACUUCAAACCUCUUUUGAAAAAUAUAUUUUAUUAAAUAUUUUAUGUGAUAUGUGCUAUGUGCUAUCUGAUUGAUAUGUUAUGUGUUUACGUGAUUGAUAUAAAAUUGUUUUUGACAUAUCUUUUGAUCCGUAAAUCGGAUUUGGGUGAAACGAAGGGUAGAUAGAAGCUCGUUUCGAAUAAAGGAUGAUGAGAAUAGUAUGAGAUCACAUAUUGAUAAUUAGUUGUGAUGAUUAGCAGAGAAGCGAGGCGUAAUAAAGGGGAAAGCAAGUGGAUAUAGUAUAGUUUAUCGAGCAGGAGCUAUUGAAAUUUGAAAUCGUCAGUAUAAGGCAAGUUUCCUUGAUACUUUCCUUCAAUUAUAUAUAUAUGAUCCUUGAUGUGAUUGCUUUGCUAGCUUUCUAAUUCACUCAUGACACUUAUUGAGCCAUAUCAUGAAUUGUUUAAUUCAUCGAUUCUUAAACCAUCAACCAGAUUCUUUGACUAUCACUUGAACUAUUCAUUCAUUGAUUCUUGAGCCAUUAACUUGAUUCUUUGAUAUCUAUUUUGGAAACCUUAUUCAAUUGUAAACCUUCAAACCUUGAGAUUUUUGGAUAACUACCAUAUAAACCUUAUUUCAAUGUUCUGACACACCUUUGAUAUCCAAACCAAUUGACUGGAAGUCAAUCAUACCUGGAAUACCAUACACCCCACAAUUGUGAUUCCUUUUCAAUAACCUAAUUUCUUUGGACUUGAAAACACCCUUUUGACAUGUGAAUUCUUUAAUAAAACCAGAAACCUUCUUUCAUACAGACCAUGACUAUUGUUUCACUUGAAAUCCAGAUAUGCUAUAUUUGAUCCUUUGACUCGUGGAAUUAUUCCUGAUUCUUAUUGUAGAAUAUCUUAAAGAUAUUGCUGAAAUGAAUUCUGUUUCUGCUCCAAAAUUUAAUCAUGUUCUUAAUGAUUCUGUUUAUUGCAUUAUAUUGUUAUUCAUCCUGAUUUAUAAUAGAAUUGGAUAGUUUUUCUUAAAUGGACCAAAUGAAUGGUCAGACCAGAUGAGUGGUCACUUUAGGCCAAUGUGUGCCUUGGAUCCAGUAAACGAGCAUGGCGGGGCCUGCUCGGGGUUAGUGUCUGACUGAUCAGCAGCCUAACCUUUGGUUUUUAAAAAUAAAAUUUAAUAUCCAAUUCUAAUUGAUACUCUAAAAAGAAACUUUGACAUUGAGGUUGAUUCUAUUAAAUAUUGAUUUCCAUCAUCUUUUGAUAAAUGUUUAAAUGGAUAUUAUUAUACUUGCUGAGCUUGUCAGCUCACUCUUGCGAUACUCUAUGUUCUUUCCAGUGAAAGCAGAGAAGGUUGGUAACGAUGAUACUCAGGCUAGUGGUAAGGCCAGGAUUCCAGGCUGAGAGAUGGAGAGAGCUAUCGGCAGCGC